rnacentral:rRNA from 1 species
GACGAACGCUGGCGGCGUGCUUAACACAUGCAAGUCGAACGGAAAGGCCCUGCUUUUGUGGGGUGCUCGAGUGGCGAACGGGUGAGUAACACGUGAGUAACCUGCCCUUGACUUUGGGAUAACUUCAGGAAACUGGGGCUAAUACCGGAUAGGAGCUCCUGCUGCAUGGUGGGGGUUGGAAAGUUUCGGCGGUUGGGGAUGGACUCGCGGCUUAUCAGCUUGUUGGUGGGGUAGUGGCUUACCAAGGCUUUGACGGGUAGCCGGCCUGAGAGGGUGACCGGCGACAUUGGGACUGAGAUACGGCCCAGACGCGUACGGGAGGCAGAGGGGGGAAAUAUUGCACAAUGGGCGGAAGCCUGGGGCAGAAACGCCGCGUGCGGGAUGACGGCCUUCGGGGUGUAAACCGCUUUCGCCUGUGACGAAGCGUGAGUGACGGUAAUGGGUAAAGAAGCACCGGCUAACUACGUG